AAAACUUAGGAAGAGCUGGAUGCCUCCCACGGAGAGCGUCCCUUCCAAGCGGCCCCGGAGUGGAGUGGAGUGGAGUGGAUAGGGGUAGACUUUUCACACGGGGACAAAUUAUUACAGGAUAUCUGCGCCCCCUGUUCCGAGUCACUCGGGGCCAUCGGUUACUUCAGCAGGUUCUCUGCAUCACGGACCCUUUUGAGGCUCAGAUGGAGCCUUGCUCUGUCACCCAGGCUGGUGUGCAAUGGCACAAUCUCGACUCACUGCAACCUCCAUCUCCAAGGUUCAAGUUAUUCUCCUGCCUCAACCUCCUGAGUAGCUGGAGUUCAAUGGCACAAUCUCGACUCACUGCAACCUCCAUCUCCAAGGUUCAAGUUAUUCUCCUGCCUCAACCUCCUGAGUAGCUGGGAUUACAGACGUGCACAACCAUGCCCACCUAAUUUUUAUUUUUAGUAGAGACCAUGUUGGCCAGGCUUGUCUCGAACUCCUGACUUCAGCCGCCGCCGCCCGACCGCCGGGAGGAUGGAGUUCAGCGGGCAGCGGAGCUGUCUCAGUCUUU
rnacentral:lncRNA from 10 species